rfam:Asian citrus Psyllid, Diaphorina citri - Florida Strain, whole genome shotgun sequence.
UUUACUAUGAUGAAAACAUUUUUAAUUUAACCAUCUUUCGGGGCUGAAAGUUGUGAUGCCAAUUGAAAUAUUCUGAGUAAA